GAUGAACGCUGGCGGCGUGCUUAACACAUGCAAGUCGAACGGAGAUGCCAUUUUCGAGGCGAUUAGUUUACUAAGAGCCAAGAUGUUGGUAUCUUAGUGGCGGACGGGUGAGUAACGCGUGGGUAACCUGCCUUACACUGGGGGAUAACACUUAGAAAUAGGUGCUAAUACCGCAUAACAGAGGGAGUCGCAUGACUUCGUCUUAAAAACUCCGGUGGUGUAAGAUGGACCCGCGUCUGAUUAGCUGGUUGGCGGGGUAGCGGCCCACCAAGGCGACGAUCAGUAGCCGGCCUGAGAGGGUGAACGGCCACAUUGGGACUGAGACACGGCCCAA
rnacentral:rRNA from 1 species